AUUGAACGCUGGCGGCAGGCCUAACACAUGCAAGUCGAGCGGAUGAAGGGAGCUUGCUCCUGGAUUCAGCGGCGGACGGGUGAGUAAUGCCUAGGAAUCUGCCUGGUAGUGGGGGAUAACGUCCGGAAACGGGCGCUAAUACCGCAUACGUCCUGAGGGAGAAAGUGGGGGAUCUUCGGACCUCACGCUAUCAGAUGAGCCUAGGUCGGAUUAGCUAGUUGGUGGGGUAAAGGCCUACCAAGGCGACGAUCCGUAACUGGUCUGAGAGGAUGAUCAGUCACAAUGGAACUGAGACACGGUCCAGACUCCUACGGGAGGCAGCAGUGGGGAAUAUUGGACAAUGGGCGAAAGCCUGAUCCAGCCAUGCCGCGUGUGUGAAGAAGGUCUUCGGAUUGUAAAGCACUUUAAGUUGGGAGGAAGGGCAGUAAGUUAAUACCUUGCUGUUUUGACGUUACCAACAGAAUAAGCACCGGCUAACUUCGU
rnacentral:rRNA from 1 species